CUAAAAGUUAGCUAGCAAAUUCACUCAAAAGAUCGUAGAUUUUCCGUAUCUUAGGUUGUUUCUGCGAAACCUAGGAAAUGCGGCAAUGAGUAAGAAAUUUAAAUUUGUUAACAAGUAAAUUUUGUCACAUAAAAGACAGCGCCAAUCAGAGUUUGGGAUCCGACCCCUCAAUAUGAGUCAAAUAAAAUGGCAUGGAAUAAGCUCUACAGCAGUAAUCGAAG